rnacentral:rRNA from 1 species
CGGCAACAGCUCAAAUUUGAAAUCUGGCCCUCGGGUCCGAGUUGUAAUUUGCAGAGGAUGCUUUUGGCAAGGUGCCUUCCGAGUUCCCUGGAACGGGACGCCAUAGAGGGUGACAGCCCCGUCCGGUCGUGCCACCGAGCCUAUGUAAAGCUCCUUCGAC